CAAGGAACUUCAACUAAAGAGUGCCUCCGGUCGCCUCGGAAACGGCGUGCGUGCCGGGGGCGAAUCUUGUGCAAAACCAUAACGACUCUCGGCAACGGAUAUCUCGGCUCUCGCAUCGAUGAAGAACGUAGCGAAAUGCGAUACUUGGUGUGAAUUGCAGAAUCCCGCGAAUCAUCGAGUCUUUGAACGCAAGUUGCGCCCGAAGCCAUCUGGUCGAGGGCACGUCUGCCUGGGUGUCACGCAUCGUUGCCCCCAACCCCAUCGCCUCUCCAAGAGACGAGGGCGGUCUGCGGGGCGGACAUUGGCCUCCCGUGAGCUUUCGCUCGCGGCUGGCCUAAAAGCGAGUCCUCGGCGACGAGCGCCACGACAAUCGGUGGUUGACAAACCCUCGUGUCCCGUCGUGCGCGGCUCGUCGCUCGUCUUGUGCUCUGUGACCCUGUAGCGUCGCGCUCGCGACUCUUCCAACGCGACCCCAGGUCAGGCGGGACUACCCGCUGAA
rnacentral:rRNA from 1 species